AGAGUUUGAUCAUGGCUCAGAUUGAACGCUGGCGGCAGGCCUAACACAUGCAAGUCGAGCGAGAAAGCACUUCGGUGCGAGUACAGCGGCGGACGGGUGAGUAACGCGUAGGAAUCUACCUGGUAGUGGGGGACAACAUGGUGAAAACCAUGCUAAUACCGCAUACGCCCCAAGGGGGAAAGCGGGGGAUCUUCGGACCUCGCGCUAUCGGAUGAGCCUGCGUAGGAUUAGCUAGUUGGUGGGGUAAAGGCUCACCAAGGCGACGAUCCUUAGCUGGUCUGAGAGGAUGAUCAGCCACACUGGGACUGAGACACGGCCCAGACUCCUACGGGAGGCAGCAGUGGGGAAUAUUGCGCAAUGGGGGAAACCCUGACGCAGCCAUGCCGCGUGUGUGAAGAAGGCCUUAGGGUUGUAAAGCACUUUCAAUUGGGAAGAAAAGUUUGUCGUUAAUAGCGGCAAGCCCUGACAUUACCUUUAGAAGAAGCACCGGCUAACUCCGUGCCAGCAGCCGCGGUAAUACGGAGGGUGCGAGCGUUAAUCGGAAUUACUGGGCGUAAAGCGCGCGUAGGCGGUUAGUUAAGUCGGAUGUGAAAGCCCUGGGCUCAACCUGGGAACUGCAUUCGAUACUGGCCAACUAGAGUACGAGAGAGGGAGGUAGAAUUCCAUGUUUCCCGGUGAAAUGCGUAAAAUAUGUGGAAG
rnacentral:rRNA from 1 species